rnacentral:rRNA from 1 species
CGAGCGGCGGACGGGUGAGUAAUGUCUGGGAAACUGCCUGAUGGAGGGGGAUAACUACUGGAAACGGUAGCUAAUACCGCAUAACGUCGCAAGACCAAAGAGGGGGACCUUCGGGCCUCUUGCCAUCAGAUGUGCCCAGAUGGGAUUAGCUAGUAGGUGGGGUAAUGGCUCACCUAGGCGACGAUCCCUAGCUGGUCUGAGAGGAUGACCAGCCACACUGGAACUGAGACACGGUCCAGACUCCUACGGGAGGCAGCAGUGGGGAAUAUUGCACAAUGGGCGCAAGCCUGAUGCAGCCAUGCCGCGUGUAUGAAGAAGGCCUUCGGGUUGUAAAGUACUUUCAGCGGGGAGGAAGGCGUUGAGGUUAAUAACCUCAGCGAUUGACGUUACCCGCAGAAGAAGCACCGGCUAACUCCGUGCCAGCAGCCGCGGUAAUACGGAGGGUGCAAGCGUUAAUCGGAAUUACUGGGCGUAAAGCGCACGCAGGCGGUCUGUCAAGUCGGAUGUGAAAUCCCCGGGCUCAACCUGGGAACUGCAUUCGAAACUGGCAGGCUAGAGUCUUGUAGAGGGGGGUAGAAUUCCAGGUGUAGCGGUGAAAUGCGUAGAGAUCUGGAGGAAUACCGGUGGCGAAGGCGGCCCCCUGGACAAAGACUGACGCUCAGGUGCGAAAGCGUGGGGAGCAAACAGGAUUAGAUACCCUGGUAGUCCACGCCGUAAACGAUGUCGACUUGGAGGUUGUGCCCUUGAGGCGUGGCUUCCGGAGCUAACGCGUUAAGUCGACCGCCUGGGGAGUACGGCCGCAAGGUUAAAACUCAAAUGAAUUGACGGGGGCCCGCACAAGCGGUGGAGCAUGUGGUUUAAUUCGAUGCAACGCGAAGAACCUUACCUACUCUUGACAUCCAGAGAACUUUCCAGAGAUGGAUUGGUGCCUUCGGGAACUCUGAGACAGGUGCUGCAUGGCUGUCGUCAGCUCGUGUUGUGAAAUGUUGGGUUAAGUCCCGCAACGAGCGCAACCCUUAUCCUUUGUUGCCAGCGGUUAGGCCGGGAACUCAAAGGAGACUGCCAGUGAUAAACUGGAGGAAGGUGGGGAUGACGUCAAGUCAUCAUGGCCCUUACGAGUAGGGCUACACACGUGCUACAAUGGCGCAUACAAAGAGAAGCGACCUCGCGAGAGCAAGCGGACCUCAUAAAGUGCGUCGUAGUCCGGAUUGGAGUCUGCAACUCGACUCCAUGAAGUCGGAAUCGCUAGUAAUCGUAGAUCAGAAUGCUACGGUGAAUACGUUCCCGGGCCUUGUACACACCGCCCGUCACACCAUGGGAGUGGGUUGCAAAAGAAGUAGGUAGCUUAACCUUCGGGAGGGCGCUUACCACUUUGUGAUUCAUGACUGGGGUGAAGUCGUAACAAGGUAACCGUAGGGGAACCUGCGGUUGGAUCACCUCCUUACCUUAAAGAA